rnacentral:rRNA from 1 species
GACGAACGCUGGCGGCGUGCUUAACACAUGCAAGUCGAACGGUGAAGGGGCCUGCUUUUGUGGGCCCUGGAUGAGUGGCGAACGGGUGAGUAACACGUGAGUAACCUGCCCCCUUCUUCUGGAUAACCGCAUGAAAGUGUGGCUAAUACGGGAUAUUCUGGGUCUGUCGCAUGAUGGGUCUGGGAAAGAUUGCGCCUUUGGGUGUUUUUGGUGGGGGAUGGGCUCGCGGCCUAUCAGCUUGUUGGUGGGGUGAUGGCCUACCAAGGCGGGGACGGGUAGCCGGCCUGAGAGGGUGGACGGUCACACUGGGACUGAGACACGGCCCAGACUCCUACGGGAGGAAGCAGUGGGGAAUAUUGCACAAUGGGCGCAAGCCUGAUGCAGCGACGCCGCGUGAGGGAUGGAGGCCUUCGGGUUGUAAACCUCUUUCGCCAGUGAAGCAGGCCUGCUCCUUGUGGGUGGGUUGACGGUAGCUGGAUAAGAAGCGCCGGCUAACUACGUG